rfam:Caenorhabditis remanei strain PB4641 contig43.8, whole genome shotgun sequence.
UGGCGAAUCCAUUCCGGGUGUACCUCACAGCAAUCCUGACGGUACCCGUAAUGCUUCCGCUGAG